UACAGAGGGUGCAAGCGUUAAUCGGAAUUACUGGGCGUAAAGCGUGCGUAGACGGUAGCGUAAGUCGGGUGUGAAAGCCCCCGGCUCAACUGGGGAGGGUCACGCGGUACUGCUCGACUCGAAGGCAGGAGAGGGAAGUGGAAUUCCCGGUGUAGUGGUGAAAUGCGUAGAUAUCGGGAGGAACACCAGUGGCGAAGGCGGCGACCUGGGCCAAUAUUGACGCUGAGGUGCGAAAGCGUGGGGAGCAAACAGG
rnacentral:rRNA from 1 species